rnacentral:piRNA from 2 species
UGAACAAGAAUUCCUGUCUCCAGAUUGGGC